AUACGGAGGGGGCGAGCGUUGUCCGAAUUUAUUGGGCGUAAAGCGCGUGUAGGCGGGUGUCCAAGCCCGGGGUGAAAGGUUGGGGCUCAACCCCAACAGUGCCCUGGGGACCGGACGUCUGGAGGCAGGCAGGGGAGCGUGGAAUUCCUGGUGUAGCGGUGGAAUGCGUAGAGAUCAGGAAGAACACCCGUGGCGAAGGCGGCGCUCUGGGCCUGUACUGACGCUGAGACGCGAAAGCGUGGGGAGCGAACGGGAUUAGAUACCCCGGUAGUCCACGCCGUAAACGAUGGAUGCUCGGUGUCGGGGGUAUCGACCCCCUCGGCGCCCAAGGUAACCCGGUAAGCAUCCCGCCUGGGGAGUACGGCCGCAAGGUUGAA
rnacentral:rRNA from 1 species